ACCGGCAGCUCAAGUGGUGGCCAUUAUUAUUGGGCCUAAAGCGUUCGUAGCCGGUUUGAUAAGUCUCUGGUGAAAUCCCGCAGCUUAACUGUGGGACUUGCUGGGGAUACUAUCAGACUUGAGGCCGGGAGAGGUUAGGGGUACUCCCAGGGUAGGGGUGAAAUCCUAAAAUCCUAGGAAGACCACCUGUGGCGAAGGCGCCUAACUGGAACGAACCUGACGGUGAAUAACGAAAGCCAGGGGCUCGAACCG
rnacentral:rRNA from 1 species